rnacentral:tRNA from 1 species
UCCCCGGUAGCUCAAUGGUGGAGCGGUCGGCUGUUAACCGACAGGAUGUUGGUUCGAGUCCAACCCGGGGAG